AGCAACAGAAAACCAAGUGAUGAACCCACAAUGAAAGGUCACAUAAUAUUUGGAAAGGGAGCUUCACUUUAUAUGGUAUUUAACAAAGGAUGAAAAUAUAAGAAAAGGCUGCAUUACCCGAUAGAGAGUGUUUGUUCUACCAAAGAUCAGUUCUCAGAACACAUUUUCCACUACAUCAUUUGUCAGAAAUCCAUCUAUUAGCAGAGCAAAGAAGAAUGGCUGUGAUCACCAGGACUUGGAAGCUAAGGCCCAGAGAGGAGGAGAAACUUGAUCAAAGUCAAUCAGACAAUGCAGAAUCGAGAAAAGUACCUGGACCUCUAUGCCCAUGCUUCUAGCAGCCAGCCUCCUAAAAUACCUCUAGUUGAAGCCAAAGUUAGAAUCCUUCUACGAAACUACAGGAUUAAAAUGGAAUGGUUACAUGACCCAGGCUUGACCAAUCAGAUCAUCCAAACCCUUUGCCACAGUGAUUGGUCCAGGGAUACAUGCAUGAGCCAGCUCAGGCCUAAGCCACACUCAUCUUGUGGAUGACACUGGAGCUGUGACAGUCUGUUCUGUCCAGGCAGGGUGUCUUUUAUUUUUAUUGGAAAUAAGAUUAUCACAGUACGCAAGGCCCAAACAAUUGGUGAUAAUGAAGAAACUCUACUACCAGACGUUGCGGGAUGCCUCAAUGACCUAAUCCAGUAAAUCACAGCUCCAGCUGUCCAUGAGCUCUGUCUACCAUCUGAGGAAUUGUUUCUUUUUAAUACAAAGACUGGCACUCAUCAGAUAAUAAUUUCUGGGAUAGAAGCAAAGUAUUGGUAUUUCUUUAAGUCUCUUGAAGGUGAUUCUACUGAGCUGGGAUUAAGAACACACUGCCUUAAUCCUUUCAUCAUCAACAAAA
rnacentral:lncRNA from 1 species